CCUANGGGAGGCUGCAGUGGGGAAUCUUGCACAAUGGGCGAAAGCCUGAUGCAGCGAUUCCGCGUGGAGGAUGAAGCAUUACGGUGUGUAAACUCCUUUUCUGGUGGAAGACGAAUGACGGUACACCAGGAAUAAGGGACGGCUAACUACGUGCCAGCAGCCGCGGUAAUACGUAGGUCCCGAGCGUUAUCCGGAUUUACUGGGCGUAAAGAGUUCGUAGCCUGAUGGAUAAGUCUGUUUUCAAAUACCUCGACUCAAUCGAGGAAAGGGGAUAGAUACUGUUUAUCUAGAGAUAUUUGGGGGUUAGUGGAAUUUCGGGUGGAGCGGUGAAAUGCGUUGAUAUCCGAAAGAACGCCGAAAGCGAAAGCAGCUAACUACAAUACAUCUGACGGUGAGGAACGAAAGCUUGGGGAGCAAACGGGAUUAGAUACCCCANUANUC
rnacentral:rRNA from 1 species